rnacentral:rRNA from 1 species
CGAGCGGAUGAGUGGAGCUUGCUCCAUGAUUCAGCGGCGGACGGGUGAGUAAUGCCUAGGAAUCUGCCUGGUAGUGGGGGACAACGUUUCGAAAGGAACGCUAAUACCGCAUACGUCCUACGGGAGAAAGCAGGGGACCUUCGGGCCUUGCGCUAUCAGAUGAGCCUAGGUCGGAUUAGCUAGUUGGUGAGGUAACGGCUCACCAAGGCGACGAUCCGUAACUGGUCUGAGAGGAUGAUCAGUCACACUGGAACUGAG